rnacentral:rRNA from 1 species
AUACGGAGGGUGCGAGCGUUAAUCGGAAUUACUGGGCGUAAAGCGUACGUAGGCGGUUUGCUAAGUCAGAUGUGAAAGCCCCGGGCUUAACCUGGGAACUGCAUUUGAUACUGGCAGACUAGAGUAUGAUAGAGGGGGGUAGAAUUCCUGGUGUAGCGGUGAAAUGCGUAGAUAUCAGGAGGAAUACCAGUGGCGAAGGCGGCCCCCUGGAUCAAUACUGACGCUGAGGUACGAAAGCGUGGGGAGCGAACAGGAGUAGAUACCCCAGUAGUCC